UACCUGAUGGUAUGAUGAGAUUGCAUGAUAGCAUCAUUAAAGAUUUAUCGGUGUACGAUGGGGAUGCGUUCCAUUAGGUAGUAGGCGGGGUAACGGCCCACCUAGCCGACGAUGGAUAGGGGUUCUGAGAGGAAGGUCCCCCACAUUGGAACUGAGACACGGUCCAAACUCCUACGGGAGGCAGCAGUGAGGAAUAUUGGUCAAUGGACGAGAGUCUGAACCAGCCAAGUAGCGUGAAGGAUGAAGGUCCUACGGAUUGUAAACUUCUUUUAUAAGGGAAUAAAACCUCCCACGUGUGGGAACUUGUAUGUACCUUAUGAAUAAGCAUCGGCUAACUCCGUGCCAGCAGCCGCGGUAAUACGGAGGAUGCGAGCGUUAUCCGGAUUUAUUGGGUUUAAAGGGAGCGCAGACGGGUCGUUAAGUCAGCUGUGAAAGUUUGGGGCUCAACCUUAAAAUUGCAGUUGAUACUGGCGUCCUUGAGUGCGGUUGAGGUGUGCGGAAUUCGUGGUGUAGCGGUGAAAUGCUUAGAUAUCACGAAGAACUCCGAUUGCGAAGGCAGCACACUAAGCCGUAACUGACGUUCAUGCUCGAAAGUGUGGGUAUCAAACAGGAUUAGAUACCCUGG
rnacentral:rRNA from 1 species